rnacentral:tRNA from 1 species
CGAGAGAUAGUAUAAAUAGUUAAUUACAUGACGCUUACAACGUCAAAAUAAGGGUUUGCCCUUUCUCUUGA